rnacentral:lncRNA from 1 species
UUUCAGAGGUCAUACUGAAAUUCUCAGCUGCAUCUUUUUUGUAUAUGAUGUUCAGAGAACAAAAAUUGACGAUUUCGCUAACGGAGGAUGUCCCCGGCAUUAUUGUUUUGUGAUUUUGCUGUAGCAGCAACUGCUGCAUCUAACAACCUGUGAUACGAGUCACAAAGGCCCAACCCAAGCUUAAGAAGGUGAUGGGCUCAAAUCAAGAAAAUCAAGAUUCACUUUCUUGUUUUCAAGAAAAUCAAAAAAUCGAAUCUUGGCCUAAUUUUGUUGUUCGGAGCGAUUUCAAGAAUAAAGAAAAUCAAGAUUUCAAAUCUUGGAAAUCUUGGUCCAAGAAACCGAAUCUUGUAGCCAAAGCGCGUUGGAUCUCCAUAACGAGCGUCAACGACCCAAUUUCAGUAGGAGAUGGAUCACAAGCCCAAAUUCUUGAAGGCGAGGCCCAAUAACCAAAAUUCAGCCCAAUCAAGAAAUUUCUUAAUUGAAAAUCAGGCCAAAAUGUCAAAGGGCUCAAUUUGUAAACAUCUUACUUGUUUAAUUUAAUUUUUUUAAUCUUUAGGAGCAUUACAUGUAAAAUUCGGCCCAAAACAGCCCAUAUAAGUGCAUGGCCGAAUUUACCUUGUUAUUUUAUUAAUUAGGUUUAAUUUUUUAUUAGUUACUUGUGAGAUUAGGAUUUGUUAGAGGCCUAUAUAAGCAUUGGCCAGCCACCUUUUGUAAAAACAUCUUAUUAUUAUUUUUUCUAUCAAAUUUUAGAUUUGUUGAGUGCAGAAUUUUCUUUGGAGUUUUCUCCAAGAAUUCUCUCUUGAGUUUUCUUUAGAAGUUGUUUUAACAAUCUUUUGAUUGUGGGAGCCAUCUUCAACCUUCUUCUUGCCAUCGAUAUUCUUUGGAGGGGAGAUUAGAGCCGUUUGAAGAGAUUUGUGAAAUCUUUCGGGAUUUCAAGGAUCUUUAGGACUUAUCCUUUAAUUCUUGCUAUUUUCGAUUUCUUUCUUUACUUUUCUUUGCUUAUACUUGUGCCGAUUUCUCAUCUAAUAUUUUACUGUUCUUGUUUGUUUUCCAGCAUUGAUUAAACUCAAGAUCUCAUCGUUUAAGUUGUUCUCCUAUUGGCAGCACCCAUUCGAACCCAAAAAUCCCCAAUUCCUAGGGUUUGGCUGAUUGGAUUUCUUCCAAUUUGGGAAUCAAUUGAUUGCUGGAAAUUGAGCAUUCUUGGUCGAAUCAAUUCCUUGGCAGAUUCGCAUAUUUUCUUUCUUCUCAAUUUCGUUUGAUUCAUCGAUUCUAUUUCUUUUCUUCUUGCUGCUCUUUUAAUUGAAUUUGGGAAUUUUAAAUUCAAAUCUGAUUCGGUUUAAUCUUGUUCUUUGUUUUGAUUUCAGAUCUGAUUUGUCUAGAGCUUUCAUAGGAAUUUCUCGUGACUUGGCAACUCGAUCUUGGUCCGCGUGCGCCUCUGUAUCAUUUGGUAUCAGAUUUUGGGCGUUUUGGGUGUUCUUGGUUGAUUUCUAAACUGAUCUCUAUUUUUUAAAGCAUAAACAGCAGUUUUACCCAGAAAAAUUGCUCAAAAAAAAUUCAUUUGAGUGGUUUAAACGUUGUCCUAUUGAUCUGAAAUUUUACAUACAUGUUUUUGGCACUGUGAUUGAAUAUAAAAAAAUUAUUCCCGCAAAAAAAUCAGUCAAAAAAGUAAAAAAAAUCAAAAAAUAUGAAAUUCAAUAAAAAUUUAAAAAAAGAUUCAGCGGGUUGCAUUUGGUGCCUAAAAUUUCCAGAUCAAAAAUUUAAUAUAUAAGGACACUCCAGAUUUAAUUUCGUGAUUUUUGGAGAUCGGGAACACCUCGAACAAAGUUGUCAAGUUACUCCGCAGUUUUUCGGGUUUUCUGUUUUCAGCAAUUUUUAUUGACUCUUAGCUGUAGGUUUUCAUUUGUUUGCCUUUAUUUUUCCUUUACAUUAUCUAGCACCUUCUUGUUUCUUGUGUUAGUAGGAUUUUUAAAGUGUGCACAAUUCUUCCUCGGUGCAACACAAAUCAGUUGGUGUCUCGUCCGUUUUUUGGCAUCCUAGUGCAAAUUAGGAUUCUUUGGUAGUUUGGUUCACACUCUCUAAUUGGUUGAUAUAAACUCUGAUAAAGAACUCACAAGAUUGAAUUCUACCUCAUUGAGAAUUUGAAUUUUCUUUUUGAGUGAUUAACGGUGAGGUUUGCUAACUUUUAUUUUUGAGUGUCGAGUGUUUAUUUUUUACAGGUUUUUGAAAAUGUCUAAAGGUGAUAAUAAUGAGGACAUAUUUAAAAGAUUCCAACAACAGUUGGACGAACAGGCUGCUGCACUUCGAGCGUUGACUGCUACUAUCAAUGAGGUGCGGUUGAAUCAAGAGCCUCAAUAUCGAGAUCAAAUUAAAGACGAUGUGGAUAGCCAGCCUCCUGCUCAUAGGCGCGCUCCUCGGCGUGUCCCUAGAACUGAUUAUGAUCUUCAUGAUCGUGGACAACCCUCUUUGGCAAAACCAAAGAGCGAGCAGCAACGAGAACAUCUCUUUCAUACUCGCUGCCAUGUACAAGGUAAGCUUUGUAGAGUUAUUAUUGAUGGUGAAAGUUGUUCGAACGUAGCCAGCACGACGAUGGUGGAAAAGCUUUGCUUAACCACUACCAAGCAUCCACGACCUUAUCAACUACAAAGGCUUAGCAACGAAAGCCAAUUUAAGGUCACUCAACAAGUGCGCAUCGCCUUUUCUAUCGGUAAGUAUCAAGACGAAGUCGUGUGCGACGUAGUACCUAUUCAAGCCUGCCAUUUGUUGCUAGGAGAACCAUGGCAACUAGAUCGAAAGGUCACUCACGAUGGUCGUACCAAUAGGUAUUCUUUCAAGUAUCAAGGAAGGAAAAUCACCUUAGUGCCGCUCACUCCGGAACAAGUCCAUGAGGACCAAAUCAAACUGAAAAAUUCUGUUGUUAAAACAAGUGAGGAAAAAGAAAAAGAGAAUGAAAAAGAGAAAAAAGAGAUUGAGAGUGAAAAGGAAUGUGAAACAGAAAAGAAAAUUGAAAAAGAAGUUGAAGAAAGAAGAGAAAAUGAGUUAGAAAAAGAAACAAAAGAAAAAGACGAGGAAAGGCUAGUGAGGAAUGUUUUCACUAACCAAGAUAUGAAUUUUUCUUGUGUUACUACUUUUCAGGUUCCCGAAGGACCGAAAGAUAACUUUCAACUUCAAUACCUCUCAAAUGAAAGACGCUUUCAUACGAUCAACUUAGGCAAAGAUGAAAUCACACUACAUGAUCCCGAAGGUAAGCGAGGUAAGAAAAUUUUAGAAACCGAGUCCAAUGCAGAUUUGAAAAUUAUUGAUAAAACUUUUGGUGACUUAGUUCUUAAAAGAUCCCCUCAUUUUGAUCCGAUUAAUUGUUACUCUUCGAUUGUGGUUGAUAAAGUCAUUACGAAAAGAAGCGUGAUUUGUUAUUCUCUUGAUUUACCUUGUGUAAAAUCCUCGAAUUUGUCCAAAUCUAUUUUGGAGAAUAAGGUAACGAAAUUUUCCAAAUUUGUUUUCAAUUUAUAUUCGUGCCUUAAACAGUUUAUGUGGUUGUACAUGAAGUUUGAGUUCCAUUUGACAAAGGUUAACUCAACAACGGAGAUUCGACUACACUAUGCCCCCGAUGAGCGAAGGUUUGUUUUAAAUGAAAAAGGUAAAAUCGACCCUUAUUCUUUUGCUUAUCAAGGUAAGAUGCUUGAAACCUUUGAAACACUUUUGUACUCCUCGGAUAGCGACAAAGAUCGUGUUGAUGAACACUUAGAUCGAAACGUGCUUGACUGUCCUAUUUUACUUAUUGAUGAUAAAUCUAUUUUGAUGGUUGAUAAAAAGAUUCUUGUUUUUGAUAAUGCAUGUGUGAGUGAAUCUAUAGACCGUCGAUUAAGGCAUGGUAAUCUGAAUCUGUCCAUUCACAUGCGUUAUACCUGUUCUAUUAUGCUUAUAAUUGGACUACAAGCUUGUUUGCGUUGCUAUUUACUAUUUCAUGGCUAUUCUUUUCAGUGGACUCAAUUGCCAUUAGUCCCGUUCGAUCGAGGAAAGUCGAGUUCAUUUGAUUUUUUAGAUUCGAGGACGAAUCUUUUUGAGGAAGGGGGGAAUGAUACGAGUCACAAAGGCCCAACCCAAGCUUAAGAAGGUGAUGGGCUCAAAUCAAGAAAAUCAAGAUUCACUUUCUUGUUUUCAAGAAAAUCAAGAAAUCGAAUCUUGGCCCAAUUUUGCUGUUCGGAGCGAUUUCAAGAAUCAAGAAAAUCAAGAUUUCAAAUCUUGGAAAUCUUGGUCCAAGAAACCGAAUCUUGCAGCCAAAGCGCGUUGGAUCUCCAUUACGAGCGUCAACGACCCAAUUUCGGUAGGAGAUGGAUCACAAGCCCAAAUUCUUGAAGGCGAGGCCCAAUAACCAAAAUCCAGCCCAAUCAAGAAAUUUCUUCAUACUUAGUUGAAAAUCAGGCCAAAAUGUCAAAGGGCCCAAUUUGUAAACAUCUUACUUGUUUAAUUUUUUUAAUCUUUAGGAGCAUUACAUGUAAAAUUCAGCCCAAAACAGCCCAUAUAAGUGCAUGGCCGAAUUUACCUUGUUAUUUUAUUAAUUAGGUUUAAUUUUUUAUUAGUUAUUUGUGAGAUUAGGAUUUGUUGGAGGCCUAUAUAAGCAUUGGCCAGCCACCCUUUGUAAAAACAUCUUAUUAUUAUUUUUUCUAUAAAAUUUUAGAUUUGUUGAGUGCAGAAUUUUCUUUGGGGUUUUCUCCAAGAAUUCUCUCUUGAGUUUUCUUUAGAAGUUGUUUUAACAAUCUUUUGAUUGUGGGAGCCAUCUUCAACCUUCUUCUUGCCAUAGAUAUUCUUUGGAGGGGAGAUUAGAGCCGUUUGAAGAGAUUUGUGAAAUCUUUCGGGAUUUCAAGGAUCUUUAGGACUUAUCCUUUAAUUCUUGCUGUUUUCGAUUUCUUUCUUUACUUUUCUUUGCUUAUACUUGUGCCGAUUUCUCAUCUAAUAUUUUGCUGUUCUUGUUUGUUUUCCAGCAUUGAUUAAACUCAAGAUCUCAUCGUUUAAGUUGUUCUCCUAUUGGCAGCACCCAUUCGAACCCAAAAAUCCCCAAUUCCUAGGGUUUGGCCGAUUGGAUUUCUUUCAAUUUGGGAAUCAAUUGAUUGCUGGAAAUUGGGCAUUCUUGGCCGAAUCAAUUCCUUGGCAGAUUCGCAUCUUUUCUUUCUUCUCAAUUUCGUUUGAUUCAUCGAUUCUAUUUCUUUUCUUCUUGCUGCUCUUUUAAUUGAAUUUGGGAAUUUUAAAUUCAAAUCUGAUUCGGUUUAAUCUUGUUCUUUGUUUUGAUUUUAGAUCUGAUUUGUCUAGAGCUUUCAUAGGAAUUUCUCGUGACUUGGCAACUCGAUCUUGGUCCGCGUGCGCCUCCGUAUCAACCUGUUAACACACGGUAUUCUUUCACACCCUGGUUUUAUGAUUCUUUGUAAAUUAGUUGCAGUUUGAUUUGGAAGAAAUUUUGGUUUAGGUUGUGAGAAAUCGGGGUAUCAUUAUUGAUAUUUCACAUUGAAUUUUGUGAGAAACCAGUUUUAUGAUUCAGUUUUGGUGUAAAUAACUCUUUGUCCCAGUUUCGAGAAUUUGUUUGUUAUUAAAUAUUGCUGGAUUUAUAACCCUUGAUCUUAUUUUUUUGGUUACCAGUGCAAUAGAGUUAAAAAUUAAAACGGCAAGCAGAAAAACAUACAGGGUACAAUCUUUUCGGUGAUUUGCUUAUAGAUCAUCAAAACAAACGUUCUAUAUCUAUUAGCUACGGUUGCAGAAGACGAGACUCCUAUUAAGGCAAAGCCUGCUAUUAUCUGGGGAUCCUGAUAAUUAUAUUCUGGUUUUGUCAAACAAUAUUCAAUCCAUGCAUCUGUUUACAUAAAUUUUAAAAGUUACACAAGUUACAGACAUUAUCUCAUCAACUUUAUUACAUUGAUGGAUAAUUUUAACAAUAUAAUCACAAUGUCUACAUAAACUUCCAAAUAAAUCUGAUAUUUAUAUUGUAGUGG